GACUCUCGACAACGGAUAUCUCGGCUCUCGCAUCGAUGAAGAACGUAGUGAAAUGCGAUACUUGGUGUGAAUUGCAGAAUCCCGUUAACCAUCGAGUCUUUGAACGCAAGUUGCGCCCGAAGCCGUCAGGCCGAGGGCACGUCUGCCUGGGCGUC
rnacentral:rRNA from 1 species